CUUGCUUUCCAGUUACGGACAGUGACUGGGUAAAUGCAGUUAGGGUCGUCUCCUACCUCCGCCGCUAAAAAAAAAACUCCGCCGCUGGAUUAGUCACUUGCCGGCGGAGCUAUGCGGCGAUUCUCGUGGGCGACAAGGCGAAUGGAACCGGUGGACGCCAAUUAAGAGCCAUUCUGGAAGAGGUAAAUAACAGCAAAUAUUCUGAUGCAAGCCGCUGCACUACCCAGUGGCGCGGCUGGCUGAGGAGCCGGUGGCGCCUAUGGUGGAAGUAGGUGUGGACGGCCAGAUCUGUGCGGCGGAAGGGGCGGCGGAUGCAGGUCAAAAAGGGUUGCCGAGAGUGUCAGAGCAGUCAAUUGGAUAGAUCGACCCUAGAGCUCCUGGCCGGAAAAUAAGGGUGAGGGUAGGUGCUACUACCCCAGGAAGGACGCCAUGUCCUAACCAGACUACUGCUCUGGAGAAGGCUAUCCAUGGUUUCGCCGACAAUCCUGGGGACAAUGUCAUAGUGCCAGCUUUGGGUACAACCUUUGAUUCUGUGCGUGAAGCAUACAACUUCUACAACCUGUGUUCGUGGAGAAAGGAUUUGGCAUUAGAUACGGCGAAAGCAGGCUAAAUGUGGAGAGGACAACAUGCAUGCAGGCAAUUGUUUACGGCUGUGCGGGAAAGGCGGGGUUGAGAACAGUAGGUCGUGUCAUUGCGAUUGCCUUGCUCUCAUCAGGUUGUUGCGGUCCAAAGACAAUGGUUGGUACAUAGCAUAACGCCAUGAGGAGCACAACCACAGAAGCUGAUCUGUGGCACAUGAGGUUCACUUUCAGGUUGUGCAAAUGGAGACAAUUCAUUCUGUUAGGUCGAUACUUCGAGGAGCUACUACUCAUUUUGGUCAAAAAGGGUUGAAUUGCUGAGACGACAUGUGUGGAGAGGGGCGACUCUAUUGACGAGGAUGGAGUUCCCGAUGCGACCCAUGAGCAGGUAUCAGUAUCAUUUUGAGAAGCAGGGUGUUUUAAUUCACGAUUUCUUGAUUGCUUGCUUUUUUUCUUGCGAUGGAGGGA